rnacentral:lncRNA from 1 species
GGUAACUAAGUAACGCUAGACGAGGUAUUUUUGUGCUUAUAAGGCUAUACUAUCCCCCCUCCCUUUCUUAAGGUUUGGUGUUAAUAUUGUUAUUUUUUCUUUUUAGUAAGGUUGCUUGCUUGUCACACAGGUCAUCUUUGGCUCGUCUCCUUCCGCGAUACGCACUUGGUAGUAUCCCGCCGUAGAUCCAACUUCGAGAAGUAUCUCGUGCGGGCGAAGAAGUCUGCAUUUUAAUUUGUUAAAUUAUCAAUUAGUUGGUGAAUUUAUAACAAUAAAUAAGCUCAUGAUUAACAAACUCAAUUUUAAAUACAAAAAUACAAUGUUUU